rnacentral:rRNA from 1 species
GACGAACGCUGGCGGCGUGCUAAUACAUGCAAGUAGAACGCUGAAGAGAGGAGCUUGCUCUUCUUGGAUGAGUUGCGAACGGGUGAGUAACGCGUAGGUAACCUGCCUUGUAGCGGGGGAUAACUAUUGGAAACGAUAGCUAAUACCGCAUAACAAUGGAUGACACAUGUCAUUUAUUUGAAAGGGGCAAUUGCUCCACUACAAGAUGGACCUGCGUUGUAUUAGCUAGUAGGUGAGGUAACGGCUCACCUAGGCGACGAUACAUAGCCGACCUGAGAGGGUGAUCGGCCACACUGGGACUGAGACACGGCCCAGACUCCUACGGGAGGCAGCAGUAGGGAAUCUUCGGCAAUGGGGGCAACCCUGACCGAGCAACGCCGCGUGAGUGAAGAAGGUUUUCGGAUCGUAAAGCUCUGUUGUAAGUCAAGAACGAGUGUGAGAGUGGAAAGUUCACACUGUGACGGUAGCUUACCAGAAAGGGACGGCUAACUACGUGCCAGCAGCCGCGGUAAUACGUAGGUCCCGAGCGUUGUCCGGAUUUAUUGGGCGUAAAGCGAGCGCAGGCGGGUUUGAUAAGUCUGAAGUUAAAGGCUGUGGCUCACCAUAGUUCGCUUUGGAAACUGUCAAACUUGAGUGCAGAAGGGGGAGAGUGGAAUUCCAUGUGUAGCGGUGAAAUGCGUAGAUAUAUGGAGGAACACCGGUGGCGAAAGCGGCUCUCUGGUCUGUAACUGACGCUGAGGCUCGAAAGCGUGGGAGCGAACAGG